rnacentral:lncRNA from 1 species
UAACCCUUGACAGUGUCUAUAAUAUGGUCCUCAAUGAUGAGAAGCAGAGACAAGUCCAGUCCUCUUCUCAGUUUAAUCCAGACUCUAUGUCUUUCAAUGUUCACACUAAUAGAUAUUCAGUUGGAUUCAAUAAGGCCACAGUGCCUAAUCCUUCUCCUUCUUUCAGACAGAGAGUCAAUUUUGACCAAGAUAGAGGGCCUUUAUUCUGUAGAUAACGCAAAAAAUCUGGGCACUUAAUUGAUAAGUGUUUCAACAUUCAUGGGUUUCCACAAAGUACAACACUUAACAAGGGGAGGAGACCUGCUGCUGCUCAUCUAACUGCUGGUGUGGAUUCCCCUUCUUCUGAAGGCCACCUGGAUAAUAGACUCAGGGGCAUCUAAUUAUAGGACAUAUGAUAAAAGUUUACUCUUCAACAUAACCCAUUUAACUGUACCCUACCUUGUCACUCUCCGUAAUGGAUAUAAAGUCAAAGUGACAUGCACAGGAUCCUUUGCAUUAAAUUCAACUAUCACUCUUCAAAGUGUCUUGUUAGUUCCUUCUUUUAAAUACAACUUGAUUCCUGUCCACAAGUUAGUGAAACAGUUGCAUUGUAUAGUUUUGUUCACUCCAACUUGCUGCUUCCUCCACAUGAUACAGGACCCUUCUCUGAGGAGGCCUCUGGAUCUUGGUAGAGAGGAGCCUGGUCUAUACAAGCUUGCUUGGGCUCCAGCUUCCCCUUCUUCCUCUACUGGUUCCUCUACUGGUUGUUCAUCUUCUUUUGUAUCUAUACAAGCUUGCAUGGGCUCCAGCUUCCCCUUCUUCCUCUACUGGUUCCUCUACUGGUUGUUCACUUUCUUUUGUAUACUCUAAAUCUGACUCUUGUAAUCUUGACAAUUCUUCUUUUAUUGGUUGUCAUAAAGAUGUUGCUUUACCUUCCAAUGUAAAUAGUUUGAUCUGUAAUAAUGUUGCCGCAACUUACAUGAAUUACAUCUGGCAUUUGAGACUUGCUCAUACUUCAUUUUCAAAUAUGAAACACAUUUCUGGAUUAUCUUUUCUCUUAGCCUCUAAGCAGCUUUCCCUUGUUCUAUCUGUCAUAUGGCUAAACAGACUAGACUUCCCUUUCCUGAUAGCACAAUAACCACUUCUAGACCUUUCCAACUGAUUCAUGUGGUCACUUGGGGCCCCUAUCACACUCCUACUUCUUCUGGUUGUAAACAUUUUCUUACAAUUGUUGAUGAUUUCUCUAGGGCCACCUGGACACACUUACUGGGAUCUAAAAGCAAUGCCUUCUGUCUGCUUAAAUCAUUUCUGUGUUUGGUUAAAACUCAGUUUAAUGUUGUGGUUCAAAUUGUUAGAAGUGAUAAUGCUUUGGAACUGGGGUCUAGCAUUGAGGGUACUUCUUUCUUUAGUAACCAACGGAUUAUUCACCAAACAACAUGUCC